GGAGAGGUCGCAUAGCCCGGUUGAGUGCGCACGCUUGGAAAGCGUGUAUACAGCAAUGUAUCCAGGGUUCGAAUCCCUGCCUCUCCGCCA
rnacentral:tRNA from 1 species